UACGUAGGGUGCGAGCGUUAAUCGGAAUUACUGGGCGUAAAGGGCGCGUAGGUGGUCGGCCAAGCGUGCGGUGAAAGCUCGGGGCUCAACCCCGAGUCGGCCGUGCGAACUGGUUGACUUGAGCACUGUAGAGGCAGGCGGAAUUCCGGGUGUAGCGGUGGAAUGCGUAGAGAUCCGGAAGAACACCGGUGGCGAAGGCGGCCUGCUGGGCAGUAGCUGACACUGAGGCGCGACAGCGUGGGGAGCAAACAGG
rnacentral:rRNA from 1 species